rnacentral:rRNA from 1 species
UACGAAGGGGGCUAGCGCUGCUCGGAAUCACUGGGCGUAAAGGGCGCGUAGGCGGCGUUUUUAAGUCGGGGGUGAAAGCCUGCGGCUCAACCACAGAAUGGCCUCGAUACUGGGACGCUUGAGUAUGGUAGAGGUUGGUGGAACUGCGAGUGUAGAGGUGAAAUUCGUAGAUAUUCGCAAGAACACCGGUGGCGAAGGCGGCCAACUGGACCAUUACUGACGCUGAGGCGCGAAAGCGUGGGGAGCAAACAGG